UGUCAUUUUUUCCGCUCUGACUAGAAUUUACGGAUGCCCCUUAUUUGUCUUUAAAUAUGCUGCUCUCAUACUUCUGUUUACAUUAGCUGCUUUACACAGGCACAGGGUUCAUUGGAUUAAAAAAAAAAAAAAAAAGACUAAAGAUAUUUUGUUUGCUUUGGCAGACACACACUUGAGUAAAAUCAGCAUCCUUACAGACUAAGGAUAAUGUAAGCUUAAAGGGAAAAUCUACUCUCAUCAACUUGCAUCCAUCCAUCCAUCCAUCCAUCUGUACUGCUUAUCCUACACAGGGUCACUGGGGAACCUGGAGCCUAUCCCAGGGGACUCGGGGCACAAAGCAGGGGACACGCUGGACGGGGUGCCAACCCAUCUCACAGUCUCACAACGCCUACUGGGACUGGGGGAGGAAACCAGAGUACCCCGAGGAAACCCUCAAAACACGGGGAGAACAUACAAACUCUGCACACGCACGGCCGAGGUGGGAUUCGAACUCCCAACCCCGGAGCUGUGAGGCAAACAUGCCUUAUUCAACUGAGUUUAUGAUGAAAUUCUGCAUUGACCUCCUUCAUAGUCUAUUUUCACUUUGGUUAACAGUUUUACCCACAAUGCCCUUUGACUACCUGCUGAGGCAAACGUGGCACCAACAGGAUUUGGCCGUUACUUCAUCCUCUACCUACAGAACCUGAUGCAGCAGCACUUUAGUCCUUGAGUCUUCCCAGCUUUCUCAACUCUUCAUCUGUACGCUCUGCCUCUAACUUUUUAAUGCUAAUACUGCUGUCAGCAUCAGUUGCUAUUCUGUUAUAUAGCUGCAUUGCAUUCUGGAUCUUUGAGUCCAUGGUUUGCCGUUUCAACUACUUCUAUGUUGGAUUUCUCAUUAUUGACGUUGAACAUCACUGGAAAAUGGGUUCAGCAGAACAUCAGAGGAAACAGCCCACUUCAUGGCUCCUCUUUUUCCUUCACUUGACUCUGUAUGAGAGGACAAACCUUUAGAAAGAAGAUGAUGAUCCACAGAUGCCAGAAGGAAUAGUGUGAGUAACCAAAAUUGACUCUUUUUACUGGACUGCUCCCGUGUACAGAAGGUUAAAACUACAUUAAGGAUAAAACUACAUUACUGCAGCUUUGGUAAGGGAUUCUAUCAUGUUUGUCUCAUCAAAACAACUUUACUGUUAUUGGAACACUGAUUUUGAAUUUCUGCUAAAGAGUCACAUAUUUAAAAUGUUUAUUGAUGGAAUUCCAGAAUAAAUUAGUUUUCAGUCAACAGGUUUUCUGUUUUUUUUCUCAUUACAGGAAAUCACAUCCAGUUUAUUGUGUCGUAAUCAUACAGUAGGUUGAAACAAUAUUGGAGUUGACCUUUAACAUUUAGUUUCUUAAAACUGAAAUGAUGUUCAGUUUUAAGAAACUUUA